CCUACGGGCGGCAGCAGUGAGGAAUAUUGGUCAAUGGACGAGAGUCUGAACCAGCCAAGUAGCGUGAAGGAUGACUGCCCUAUGGGUUGUAAACUUCUUUUAUAUGGGAAUAAAAUGUUCCACGUGUGGGAUUUUGUAUGUACCAUAUGAAUAAGGAUCGGCUAACUCCGUGCCAGCAGCCGCGGUAAUACGGAGGAUCCGAGCGUUAUCCGGAUUUAUUGGGUUUAAAGGGAGCGUAGGGGGAUUGUUAAGUCAGUUGUGAAAGUUUGCGGCUCAACCGUAAAAUUGCAGUUGAAACUGGCAGUCUUGAGUACAGUAGAGGUGGGCGGAAUGCGUGGUGUAGCGGUGAAAUGCUUAGAUAUCACGAAGAACUCCGAUUGCGAAGGCAGUUCACUGGACUGCAACUGACACUGAGGCUCGAAAGUGUGGAUAUCAAACAGGAUUAGAUACCCUAGUAGUC
rnacentral:rRNA from 1 species